rnacentral:lncRNA from 1 species
UUGGAACUGGCUCGGGUACAGGCUUAAUUGUUGGAGUAGGUAGAGGUUUUUUUAGUGAAGGAAUUGGCUUUGGUAUAGGCUUAAUUGCUGGAAUAGGUAGAGGCUUUUUCACUAUUGGAAAUGGCUUUGGGAUAGGCUUGAAUACUGGAAUGGGAAUUGGCUUAAUAAUUGGGACAGGCUUGAAUACUGGAAUGGGAAUUGGCUUAAUAAUUGGGACUGGCUUGGGUAUAGGCUUAGUUACUGGAAUAGGUAGAGGCUUUUUCACUAUUGGAAUUGGUUUGGGGAUGGGCUUGAACACUGGAAUAGGAAUGGGCUUAACAAUGGGAAUUGGUUUUGGUAUAGGCUUUGUUACGGGAAUAGGUAGAGGCUUUUUCACCAUUGGUGUUGGCUUUGGAAUUGGCUUAACAACUGGAACUGGAUUAGGUAAAGGCUUUGUUACUGGAAUAGGUUGAGGCUUUUUCACGGUUGGGAUUGGCUUUGGGAUAGGCUUGAAAAAUGGAAUAGGAAAUGGCUUUGGGAUUGGCUUGAACAAUGGUAUAGGAAAUGGCUUGGGGAUAGGUUUGAACACAGGAAUAGGAAUUGGCUUAAUAAUUGGAACUGGCACGGGCACGGGCUUAAUUACCGGAAUAGGUAGAGGCUUUUUUACUAUUGUAAAUGGCUUGGGGAUAGGCUUGAACACUGGGAUAGGAACUGGCUUUACAGUUGGAGUUGAUUUUGGUACAGGCUUAAUUACUGGAAUAGGUAGUGGUUUUUUCACUAUUGGAGAUGGUUUUGGAAUUGGCUUAACAAUUGGAAUUGGCUUUGGUAUAGGCUUCUUAAUCACCGGAGUAGGAAUAGGUUUCUCGGCUACCGGGCAAGGCUUUGGCUUUGGCUUUGGUUUUUCCACUAUGGGAGAUGGCUUUGGUAUAGGCUUCUUAAUCACCGGAGUAGGAAUAGGUUUCUUGGCUACUGGGCAAGGCUUUGGCUUUGGUUUUUCCACUAUGGGAGAUGGCUUUGGUAUUGGCAUAACAUCUGGAAUUGGCUUCUUAAACACUGGGAUUGGGAAUACUGGAAUUGGAAUUGGAUUUGGUAUAGGCUUAAUAUCUGGAAUCCACUUUGGUAUAGGCUUUUGGAAAACUGGGAUAGGCAGAGGAUUUGGUAUAGGUGUAACAAUU